rnacentral:lncRNA from 1 species
GAGCGGGAGAGGCCGCGGAGACCCCGGCCCGGCGCAGGCAGAGACGCACCUGCGGGAGGCGGGCGCGCCGGCUGGAGAGGAGGCCGUGGGGCGGAGCGGCUCAGCGUUCUGCUCGGCUGCAGCGGCCCCUGCCGGAGACCCGGGCGCCGUGGUCUUCUUUAUAAUUGAAGGAUUGUCUCUCUGUUUUUAUUUGGGGUGGGGGUGGGGGUGGGGGGCGGCGCAGUGACUUGCUUCGACUUUGUCAGCUUCCAGGGUUCAUUCCACUGCCCAAAUAUGUAGUGAGUUACUACCGGCUUUGCUUCCUCCUUCAGCAAACGGCUGGACCACACAACUUCAGGAGAGAGGAUUUUAAAUGUUAGGGUCAUUUUCCCUAAAACGAUUUCAAAUGACGUCUCUUUAUCUAUAGGUAACCCAGCUUAAAACAACUGCGGUUGGCCCGGGAUCCUCACUGCCCUUUGCCAAGUACCAGAGAAAGAUAAGGCCUACUAGGAACCAGAGAAAACCAGAACCAGCCACCCCUUGUUACUUUUAGAUCAUUAAUACAUCAUUAUAUGCUCAACUCCCGACCCGUAGAAGAGAAUCGCCGCCAUUUUCUGAUAGUGCAUUGUAUGAAGAGGCAUGUUUAUGAAAUGCACCUGUGCGUCUAGAGUUCCUCCCGGCAUAUGCUUGCAUACCUCCCCACUCCACAUCUAACGCCUUACAAUUCCCCAGCUUCCCAAAGCUCUGGAAGAAGGGGGUCUUUAGAGUGAAAGUUUACUCCUUCUCUAUUCCUGGCCAGGAAUGAAACCCGCUUGCCGUUUUUUCCAGUUGGUGUGCUUUCUUUGCAACUGAUACAGACUAGGAAAAGAACGCAAUUUACCAGUAACAGUAGAGCUGGGAUUUAAAUCUAAGUGCUUUGACUUCAAAGACAAGGUUCCAAGCUGCUACACAUACCAAUUCUCGUUAAAGUGUAUUCCAUUUCUUUUGUGCUUUCAUAUUGACCAUUGUGUGUUAAUCCUUUCAAUUGGAAGAAGAGGGAGACAGUGCCAGUUAUUGCAAACUUUCACAGUCCACAGGCCCGAUAUGUAGCCUUCACCACCCACAGGUUCUGCCACUUCUGGGGCAUUAUAUUCCAUCAAGAUCCAGGCACCCGCCAUCCACAUACCAGCCCUGGAACUCGUCCCUUCUCCCAGACUUGGAAACGCCACCUCUCCCUGACCAAUGUCGAGCCACUUCCUCAUCUUGAUACAUCAGCCACUAUCCUUUCCAUCUUUCAGGCAACUCCAGCUUAAUUUCUCGAUGGCCUUGCCCUUCUAAAAGGCCGUUCUCUUUUCCCAGAUGACUUUUUCCUAUCCCCUCCACAGUAACUCCCCUCAUCCUUCCAGUCUCAAUUCAAUUGUUCCUUGGUGGGGUGGGGCGGGGGGAGCCUUCUUAAACCCUCCUCCCUCACAACUGCAUGAGGUCCCUUGUCUCUAAUAUAAGCUCCUGUAGCACCAUGGCACUUAUCCCAGUUGAGAUUUUAAAUAUAUUUCUGUGUAUUUGAUUAAAGUUUCUCUCCUCCACCAGGCUGUGAAGGUGGCUUCUUGUUUUGUUUUGCUCCCCGUGGUAUUCCCAGCACCUCAGGAUCCCUUAUAGUAGAUGCUGAAUUAGUAAAUACAUAUUAAAUAAAUGAAUGAACAAUCUCACAGGAAAAGCAGCCUCAAACUCAGAGGAUAAUGGCUUGGGCUAUCUUUACUAAAAUUUAAGAGGCGAAUGACCUUUUCUUUCUGCUUAUGAGUCUGUCUGUAGCAGCACAAAAUAAAAAAUAAACAAGCAAGAUAGAGUUCAUUGAUAACUCAUCCUAUUUACAGAGGUUUUCCUGGGACAUGUGGGUAGGUGACAGAAAAGUUUAGAAGCACAUACACUGGAA